rnacentral:rRNA from 1 species
GCCGGAAUUGCUAGUAAUGGCAGGUCAGCAUACUGCCGUGAAUACGUUCCCGGGCCUUGUACACACCGCCCGUCACACCAUGAGAGUUGGGAAUACCCGAAGCCUGUGAGCUUAACUUUUAGAGGCAGCAGUCGAAGGUAGAAUCAAUGAUUGGGGUGAAGUCGUAACAAGGUAUC